rnacentral:rRNA from 1 species
GACGAACGCUGGCGGCGUGCUUAACACAUGCAAGUCGAACGGAAAGGCCCUGCUUUUGUGGGGUGCUCGAGUGGCGAACGGGUGAGUAACACGUGAGUAACCUGCCCUUGACUUUGGGAUAACUUCAGGAAACUGGGGCUAAUACUGGAUAGGAGCUCCUGCUGCAUGGUGGGGGUUGGAAAGUUUCGGCGGUUGGGGAUGGGCUCGCGGCUUAUCAGCUUGUUGGUGGGGUAGUGGCUUACCAAGGCUUUGCCGGGUAGCCGACCUGGGAGGGUGACCGGCCACAUUGGGACUGAGAUACGGCCCAGACUCCUACGGGGGGCAGCAGUGGGGAAUAUUACACAAUGGGCGGAAGCCUGAUGCAGCAACGCCGCGUGCGGGAUGACGGCCUUCGGGUUGUAAACCGCUUUCGCCUGUGACGAAGCGUGAGUGACGGUAAUGGGUAAAGAAGCACCGGCUAACUACGUG